CAAACCGCAUUUUACAAAACUCACGAUCCGGAGACGUGUAGGUUAGAAAGGUUUUAAUUUUGGAAAAGGUUUUAUAAAAAUGACCGUUGGAAUUGGGAAGCCAAAAGGUUUGGGUCGGUGUAUUGGCGCAUAAAAUAUUACCUUCUCUAUUCUUCCUUCUUCACUUCACUCAUCCCGCUUCGUUCUCCUAACACCGUCGGAGACGACUCAUCGCGACCUCUGUAACUCAGCUCACCGGAGACACAAGCACUCCCACCCUUCGUAGGACACUCACAACCAUGCUUCAAAUUGCUAAUGUUGUAUGCAUCAGAUGUUGGACAAGUACCAAAUGUUGAGGAAACAAUGAGGAUUCAGACUCGUACUUAGAGCCAUCCAUCACCUAUAGAAUUAGAAAUUAUACCCAUCUUUACUUGUCCCUGCAGCUUCUCAACCUGAUUUUGUAUCAAACAUGGUUCCAAUUUUUCAAUAAAGAAUUUGUACGCAAUGUAUCCUUUGAUCAUCUAUUACAUGCCUGUUGGUUGUUUUGUUCAAAUGACAUUGAUCCUAUCAAUAAGUUUGUGAAACUUUUUAACAUGAAUCAGUUACCCCUGAUUCUGAUCAUGAACCAAAUCCAUGGGAAUUGAAUAUGUCUAAUGCUUCUCCUGGUCAGCAUCUUGGCUUUUUGCUCAGCAGAGAGGAUGCAGGAAAAUGAUUGCUUAUUUAUUUAAAAGAUCCUAAAUAUUGCAUGGAAAAUGCCUUCAACACUUAUUCCGUACGCCUGAAAACUGAGACAUCAUGGAAGGGAAAUGCCACAUGGUGGUUGUCUUUGGUGGAUUGAAAUGUUAGAACCAAGUGGUGAAUAUAAAGAGGGUGCUAGUGUUUAAGGAACCUCUUCGUUCAGCUGUGAUGCUUGAACAAGGAUCUUAUUGGUGUUACCUUUUAGCCAAACCAAUUAUAUUAAGAAAGUACGGAUUUCAUCUCAUUCUUUCUCAUGAUCUAUACAAGAAAUGCCAUCAGGGUAUUUCAAGAAAAACUUCAAUUUUUUGCGAACACAUCAUAUGCCAAGUGUAAUUGCGUUGGGUCAAUGUUUUAUGUAUGGUCAGCAACCCGGGACCCAACACGUGUAUGAUUUUCCAAGAUUUUGUACAACAUCCAGCUGAAGAAGUUGAUGAAUAGAUACUCUGAUAGACACGAGUUGUGGUAGUUAGUGGUAGAACAAGGGUACAGUGUCGUUCUUCCAGAGAAAUUGAAGACAGGAAAUUGGUAUGCAUCUGAAACCUUCCGAGAUUACAAGUAGAUGGAGUUACUGGAGAAGAGUAUGUUGAGUAGUUUAUUAUUUUUUAAGGCGAAUUAGGUCAACAACUUGAAAUUGUUGGAUGACAUGGCGGAAUUGAGUUCAACCUAUUGUGUUACACAAAUAUAUAACAGAGCAUAUGAUGGGUUGGGUAUGAUAAUUUUUUGUAUUUUUCAAUCAUUGAUGCUCAGUUACGUGUGUGUGUGUGUGUGUGGUUGGUUAUUGCAAUGUUAUUGAAGAGGCAAAAAGCAUUAUUUAAAUUAAAGGUAACAAUUUGCAAAACUUUCUUCAACAAGCCCAAGGGAGGGAGGGCGCCUUGUAGUUUCGGGCAUCUCCUAUGCUAUGCUAUGUUGCAUCACCCUUCCCUUGUCUCCUGAUGUCAUGGAUUUUCGUAAAGUUCAAGUUUUUUUAGGGAGGGAAGUAAUUGAUGAAGAAGGAUGGAUGCAAUUGAUAUAGGGUUGUGGGCACCUGGAGGACGCUUAAAGAUUAUUGAUAGGAUAACUGGAGCAGUCAAGAACACAUAGAAAUCUGGAGUAAAAGGUACGAUGCCAAGGAAAAGCUGGAGCAGUCAAGAGCACAUAGAAAUCUAGAGAAAAAGCUAAAUGACUAUAUACGAUGCCAAGUUUCCACUAAAAGCCGUGUAACGUUGUGGCAUGAAGAACCGAAUCAACACUACCCCCCUUUCAAGAUUGAAAAUAUUAAUUCUUUUUGUGAAUAAUGGCAACAAGAGAGGCAGAGAUGAUGCAGCAAGUUUCUUUACCAAUGAUGAUGGAUAUCACCAAAUUGGUUAUGAUAACCACAAGCCUCAAAACUUACGUUAAAUUUUUAAGGAAAAUUGUGGGAAAUAACAAGCUAUGCUAUUAGUUCCAAUGGAUAUCAUCAAAUAACCAAUAAGGGUGUUGUUAUCAUUGAAUCUCAAAUAAGGAUAUUUAUGCCUUCAUGUUACGGAAUUAUGAAGUUGCUUUAUCAAAUUACCACCUUCUAUCCACUGAUUACAUGCUGACAAAGCAUGGAAGCGAUAUGCAGGAAAUGGUGUGGUCUUUGGUAGAUUGAAACAUUAAAAACAGGUGGUCGAUAUAAAGAGGUCUAGCAUUCCCUCCUCUUUACUUCUAUAGUGGAGGAGUGUGGGAGUUUCUUGCUACGGUUAAACAACAUGUCCUUAUUGUCAGAUCAUCAGAAGACACAAAUGUAUUUCCUGUGAUUAACUUUCAAAAGAACUUUGUUUUCAUUGGAGCUUCUAACAUCUCUCUCUUGCGAAUGGAACAACUCCAUCUUCAGAAGACAAUCAUUCGGGCAGCAGGCAGCAAAACAACAGGCAGAGGCCUUGUAGAUGGUCAAAGUCAAAGUCAAAGUCAAGGUCAAAAUGAAGGAGGGGAAAUAUUUGGGCUUCCAAAGACCACCAGCCUCUUGAAAUGGCCCCCAUUGAUUUCCCCCAUAGUUCCCAAAGAGUCCCCAUUGAGUUCGAUUAAUUAUCACUGGUCUUAUGAAAGCCAUGACAGCAUCCUUUGGGGGUUGAAGAGGUAACACAUUUGUUUUUUAUUUUUUAUACGGGAAAUUUCAGGAAAUAGCAAUAUACUUCAUUCUUUUUAUCAAUUUAGGCAAUAUACUUUAUGUUAUACCCAUGUUAGUGAUGUGUAACCCUUAAUAGCUACAUACUUGCAUUUCCUUAUAGAUAAAAGCAUUGCACUUACAA